AGUGCUACAAAGAUGACUUGUGGGACUGAAACCAGGAGCUCUUGACACUAUGACCAAAAAUUGAUGUUCUCCAUAGGAUGACACAGACAAUAGUAUUUUGUUUUCUUCCUGAGGGCAAUACAAGG
rnacentral:snoRNA from 1 species